CUCUAACACAAUGCAGCAAAGCAGCACAAACCAAGCCCGAGACUACAAGCUCAUUAUUUCACUCUCAGCGUGAGAGCCGACUUCUCGUCAUCAUGACCCCUGUAACAGCUCCGGACAAUCCCCAGGUCUCCCGACGGACAGCAUAUCCGAAAGGCGAGCCCAAAGCACUGGGGACUGUUCAGAUCAUGAUUGGGAUCACGACUCUCUUGUUCUGUUUAUAUUUAUACUUUUCCCUGGGUGACGUUCUGACCAGCAGUAUCUGUAUUUUCUUAUCACUUAUUGUACGUCCUUUUCGGGCUGCACUGUAAGUGCCUUGCAUUAGUAUUUACCCCGUUUGAACUUUUCAACGACAGAAAUAACUUCAUGUAUUAUAUGUGAUGAUACUGCAGGAAGUUGCCUGUUAUCGUGAAGCACGGUGGUCUUACCACUGACCUCACGGCUGCUACAUGCUGUUGUGCCGUAUUACUCUACACAUUCACAGGCAAAAAUCUUACCAACACACAGAUGUUAUUACAAUAAAGACACAUGGCACAUUGGUUGCUGAAAAUAAACAUGACUUCUAAUGAUAGCAAUCCAGAGGCCGGUAUGAUGCUAGCACCACCAUCAUGCUUCAGUAGCUAAAGUUCCACAAUAGAAAUUUUCAAAGGGGUGUCAAUAGUUAUGUAACUAACUAUACAUCCCUGUUUUUUAUUCUUAACAUCUGAUAAACAUCAUGAGUCGCUUUAUUUUAACAGUUCAUGGUGUCUGGAGCUCUGUCGGUUGCUGCAGAGAACCACCCGAACUCCUCCGCUGUGUGGAAAGCCAUGGUGAUAAUGAAUGUGUUGAGUUCUGUGGCUGCAACCAUCAUCAUCAUCAUCAUCAUCACCUUCUUCUCAAUUUUCAGGGAGAUUCAGAAUGACCAUCCG